rnacentral:misc_RNA from 1 species
GAUCAUUACUGUGAUUUACUACUACACUGCGUGAGCGGAACGAAAACAACAACACCUAAAAUGUGGAAUAUAGCAUAUAGUCGACAAGAGAAAUCUACGAAAAACAAACAAAACUUUCAACAACGGAUCUCUUGGUUCUCGCAUCGAUGAAGAGCGCAGCGAAAUGCGAUACCUAGUGUGAAUUGCAGCCAUCGUGAAUCAUCGAGUUCUUGAACGCACAUUGCGCCCCUCGGCAUUCCGGGGGGCAUGCCUGUUUGAGCGUCGUUUCCAUCUUGCGCGUGCGCAGAGUUGGGGGAGCGGAGCGGACGACGUGUAAAGAGCGUCGGAGCUGCGACUCGCCUGAAAGGGAGCGAAGCUGGCCGAGCGAACUAGACUUUUUUCAGGGACGCUUGGCGGCCGAGAGCGAGUGUUGCGAGACAACAAAAAGCUCGACCUCAAAUCAGG